CCGCCACGCGUCUUUCCCGCGCUCGCCCGGCACGCCCCGCCCUUGCCCGCGGUCACCCUCGCGGCCCCCCAACACGCGCCAGCGCCCUAACACCACACCCCGUCCACCCCUGCCAAAGGCUUUCCCUGUUUCAGUUUAAGGUGGUUGCUCUACGCAGUGCGUUUCAUCGAUGAGAAAACACCUCCCGCCCCACCAUGCAGCACAUAACUCGGAGCAGCGUACCUCCCUCCGCGCAUCCAGAAACCUAAAGAGCAAAUCGAAUCGUAUUUUGUCCCUCUGUAUUUACGAAGACUCAUUUGCCAGCUUCUCUAAUCCACUUUAAAGAAAAAAUAGAGAAAGCGUUUGUAGAAGUCUUCCGAGCUUCCAGUCAGCAUCCCAAGUGCUUGGUGGUUCAAGAAGCCUGGAAACAGCCCCUGGAAGGAGGACCUCAUUUCCUCCCAGACACAAUUUACAGAAGCCAGCCAGGCUCUGAAAACAGUGGGCGAAGGUGCCUGACGGGGUUGAGAGCAAGGAUUCCACCACUGUUCUCUUGGAGAUCUGGACCACCAGGACUCCUAGAGAUGAGGGGCCAAGCGAGGAUGUAAGAGGAGAGAGCACUGGAGAACCCUCACACACCAUUCGUGCCUCCUGAGCAGGUGGAAGCCGCUCCCUACCUCCGACCCACUGCCCCUCUCUGCACCUUCUUUCCUGAAAUGGUUGUGUUAUUUCCACCUGGGCCUGGGGCCAGGACGACAGUGAGGGGACCAGAGUCCAGAGAAAGAGAGGACCACCACGUGGAAGGUAGAGUGGGAGGGAGUGCAAGAGAGAGGAGGGAGAGAGGUGAUCAUGUUCUGGAGAGAACUCCGUUUCCUCUCCAUUCAUGCUUCCCAUUCAGAUGACCAAGGGACACGUGACUGCAGCAUUAACAAUGAUCUUACUUUUUCAUGGUGUUUUGCCCUCUUCAAAGGACAGUCACAUCAAGAGCCUUAAACACUAAAGUUGAAGUCAAGGAAUCUGACUUCUGGGACCAUGUAUGUGCUCACUGUUCAGGCUGUGUCGUGGUGCUUCCUGAGGCCUCAGUUUCCCCUCUUCCAUGCAAGGACUCUGGAUUCUAGGGGAGAAGAUGGCAAUGAAGACAUUUCUGCCGGUCACUGUGCUCCCUGUAGGCCCAGCUGUCUCCCAGGGCUUGCCCUCAUCUCCUUCUUGUCCUUUCAUUUCAUCCAGGCAAAUUCAUUAUUGGCUCCCUUUACUCUCAGUUCUCUGUUCACCUGUAAUCAUGUCCUUGGGAUAAUCUUGGGCUUCUCGACCAGGAAGAGUCCAUUUCUCUUCACUCAUUUCCUCAAACGUCAUACUUGUCAGGAAGUCUCCUAAACAUGAGGCAUGAGCUGAGAACCUUCUCCACACACCGCCCACACCUCUUACUUAGCCUGUCCCUGAUUCCUAUGCUCCUGCUUCUCUUUCUGCACCAUUCAAGUUGAUUCAACCAAGUGUCAGAUAUAGAAAAAUUAAAGUUGGGACUGAAGGGCAGGAAAAAUGGAUGAAAACCAUAAAAUUCAAAAGAAACAUUGCUAAGUUUGCAUACCCUUGAUAUGUCUAGGUCAUGCAUCCAGCAGCUACAAGGUCUCAAAAGGCAACAACAAAAAGGGAUUCAAAUGGACCUUUCUCUCUCUUUUUCUAACCCCUGCAGUAGGAGGCAAGACAAUGUGUAACUGAAAGAGAAAAGGCAGGGUGUCCCUUCUGUGAGGAGACUCACUCUCCAAAGAAAAAACCUGUAUUACAAGGUGCCCUCAUGAUGGUAGAGAGGAAACAUGCAGUCUCAAGGCUUUUGGCCAAGAAGAGCAGGAACCUUUGAUCUUGUCUGGAGCCCAAAGGAUCUAAGGAUGGAGUGGAGACAGACAAGAGUCUGCCAAAGUCUCAGCUGGGUACUUAUUCAAAGCAUGUCUCGGGUGAAGUCUCUACUAUUGGAUUUGCCAGACCACUCCCGCCUAAGGCCAGGGCAAGUGGAAUUUCAGAUCAGUUGCCUAUUUAUUCUACCAUGUUCUGCUCAGGGCGUGACCAGCCAAUUGGUCUAUUUGCCCAAAGAGGCUCAACCCAACCACAGCCCACCCUCCUCCAGGCACUUUGGCUGCUCCCUUCAGAACCUCCCUUCCUUGCCUGUUGGGUGGAACUGGUCCUGACUACUUUUAUUUUUUCAAACCCCUCUGUGCGUAAUAAACAGGAUGUUUGGAAAAGCUCAAGAUGGCCAGGGGUCCGCCGAGUUGGCCCUUGAUUCUCACUUGGAGAGCAGUGUUGGGCAAUAUCCAUGGAAUUACUGCUGCCUGGAUGUUGCCCAGAAUAGCUAAAUCCUCUACCCCACCCUACUCCCCCCACCCUCUCUCUCUCUCUCCCUCUCUCUUUCUGAGAGAACUUGGCUACAGGGAGUUUGCACUGUUCAAGAGGUGCCUUCACUUUUUAAGGGUAUUUCUUAUGGGAGACUUAAGAAAUCUCCCUGCUCCCAAAGAGUUCAUUUAAGGAAGAAAAGUGAAUCCAAUCGAUGGGAACCUUACUCCCUUUACAAAGCUCUUCUCAAGAUCCUAAGGGCUAGGGCAGUGCCCUAAGAAAAAUCCUCCAUGAAAAAUAGUUUGCCCUUGAUUAAAAGUCCAUUGGGUAAAGUGUUUUUGAGUAGACCCCUCUACUGCCCUGUCCUGAAUGAAUGAAAAGAUCAGAUUAUCCCACUGAUUGGUAGUAGCCAAUGCCUGCUCCACUGGAACUGAGUUAACCCUAGGUGCGAAAGUUUUAACAUCUGAGGGUGGGUAGAGGCAAGUAAACCUCAAGCACAGAGAGCAAACCAAAGCCUUCCUGCAGGGUGGGAAAUAAGAACAGCAGCAACUACAGAUAGAGGCCUUUUCUCAGGGCCCUCUCACAGCCUCCCUGCCUGGCCAAUCCCUAGACUUAGCUAUCAACAUUUUUACACUGAGCCACCACUUACCAUUGCUAGGGUUCCCUGAGAACUACCUAGCACCAUGUGGCCCCUGCAGCAGAUAUUAGAAGAAAAUAUAGUCCUCUGCCAACCCCAUUCCAUUCACCACCCUGCCGGAUCUAUUGCCCUCUGAUCCUGUCCUAGAGCAUGCUGAUUUGCCCACUGCUAAUUACCACUGCUAAUACCCAUGCAGCCUACUUCUCCAGCCACAUCUAUCCUGCAGCAUCCUCCAUCACCCAAACUGGUUUUGUAGUCACCACCAUUGUUAUUCUUGAGCCAGCGUUUUCCUGUCUUCUUAGUCUAUGUCUCCUGUUCCCUAAGCCAUUCAGGAGCAAAGUGUUCAGAAGUGAAGUGUUCCAGCUCAGAAAAGCAAAUCAAGGUUUGGCAGACAGACCAUUCCCAGAGCAGCAGCCCUGCCUGGGACCUAGUGUUUGGGUCUAACUAGGGAAGAGAAUCCCUCAUUGGAGUGGCAGGACUCACGGUUUAGAAAGCAGAGCAUGGGUGCCUAGAGCUUCUGUACUGCAGAAUCUGUGUCACCUGCUCUGUACCCUGGACCUAUUAAUGAGGAAGGAUUCUAGCAGGGGGGGAAGGGAGUCUGUGAUGGGGUUAGGAGGACAGAUUUUGGAGGAAAGGAGUGCAGUGGAUUAUGAUGCUAGAGCUUUAAGCUACUCUUGGAUUCCUUUUAUUGCACCUGUAAUCCUAGAUUUUCUCCUUCCCUCACAAGCAGAGGAACUGGGGAAAUACAUGUUACUUCACUCCAUGUCAGUGAACUCUUUCUUCAUCAGAACUUCUGCCCUGGAGAGAGGUUCUUGAAGAGUAAAAAGUCACUGGGAACUAAUUGUUGAAGAUUGUUACAAUUAUGAGAACCACUGUGCUCUGGAAGGAGCCAAUCAGACACUGUGGCUGGGCUGCUGUCCACCCAGCCAUAGCUGAGAACUUGCAGCCAACCACAGCACAUGUGCACACAGAUAUGAGAAAAAAAGACUCCUGGGAAACUGAUUUUGUGGAAGACAUUUAAAAACAUUUGGCAAAUUUUCAACAUGGAUGGACCUGGAGGGCAUUAUUCUAAGGGAAAUAAGCCAGAUAUAAAAAAGACAAAUGUGAUCUCACUUAUAUGUGGAACCUAAAAAUAGACUCAUGGAAGCAGAGAGUAGAAUGGUGGUUGCCAGGGGUCAGGGAGGUUGGAAAUGAAGAGGCAGUGGUCAAAGAGUACAAAGUUUUAGUUUUGCAAGAUGAGUAAGUUCUAGGGCAAUAUAGCAUAGUGUCUAUAGCUAACAAUACUAUGUUGUAUAUUUAAAAAUUUUCUAAGAGGGUAAAUAUUACAGUAAGAUUUAUUAUUAUAACCACUACUAUUUAUGGUAAGUAUGCAUACCACAAAUAGUAGUGGUUAUAAUAAUAAUAACAAUAAUAAUAAAAGGGAGAAGAAGAAACUUUGGGAGGUAAUCGGUAUGUCUAUGGCCUUGAUAGUGGUGAUGAUUUAAUGGAGGUAUACUUAUCCCCAAACUCAUUGAGGUGCAUAUAUUAAAUAUGUACAGCUUUUUACAUGUCAAUCAUACUUCAAUGGAGUAGUUUUAAAAAACUGCCAAAAACAAUAGAAGAACCACAAAAUUUUUAUUUAAAAACCCUGAAAGAAACCCCUUUGAUUGAUUGCUUAAUGGAGAACCCAGAGCAAUAAAUUGAUGGAGACAAUAGGUUUCUGUAAUGUUAUGGUAGUAGUCCCAAUUUCCCAGCAGACAUUAUCUUAGGGACUCAGGAAAAAAAAUCAGAACUCUCAGGAAUUUUCACAAAUUCCCCAAAGCAUAAGUUAUUCCUUACUAGUUCUAAGAUUAGUUAUAUUCUUUACUUGCUAUUAUGGAUUUCUAAAAGUUGUUUAAUAAAUAAGAGAUAUUGGGAUGCCUGGGUGGCUCAGCGGUUGGGAGCCUGCCUUCAGCUCAGGUUGUGAUCCCAGUAUCUGGGAUCGAGUCCCGCAUGAGGCUCCCUGCGAGGAGCCUGCUUCUCCCUCUGCCUGUGUCUCUGCCUCUCUCUCUCAGUCUGUGUCUCUCAUAAAUAAAUAAAUAAAUAAAUAAAUAAAUAAAUAAAUAGUAAGAGGUAUUAAGCCUAGUAAUAUUAAGCCUCACAAAACUAUAGGUUAUAGCAAAUAUUCAAACCCUAGAAACAUCAGCCAACAUUACAUGAAAUUUGUAGUAUUUAAAAAAUGUAAUUUUGGGUCUUUUGGUAAGAGGUUAGUGAGGUUAACAGCACUAAUCAGAAUCAUGUUGAAAUUGCUAAUUUAAGAACAUAUUUUGCUCCUCAAACUUGUUAUUCCUUAGAAUGCCAUAAGUUUUGUAUGAAGUUUGCUAUGCAUAAAAACUUAAUAUGUAUUUCAUUUACAACACUUCCUCACCAGUAGAGGGAAACGUCACACACACACACAUUUACAGCAUGGCUAUUGCUAUAUGCACGUCCAACUGAUUAGAUUGUUGUGGCUGUCUUUUUUUCUGCAUACUCCUGUCCUGGUUUCCGAAAAUAUACGCUUAACGUUGGACUCUGUCUCUGUUUCCUGUUCCUGCAUUGCUUUGGAUGUCAGUCAUCUCUAUGUAACUUGCAAAGCUUUAAUUCUUACGGAAGAAUUCUAGAGCUCUUUCUUGUCUUCCUAAUUUUUCAACUGGUUUUUCUCGAAACUUAAAAUUGGAAAAAUGCACAACUUUCCGGAGCAGUGCUGGGAAGGAAUUCUCAUAUGGAACACUACUAGUCAAGAUGCAGGCCCAAUGGGAAGGCCUUCCCGCAAGCUCUCUGGAAGAGGACAUAGGGAGCUUGGUGGAGGGGUGACUAGCUAGGAUUUGGGGGCUACUACUGGCCCCAGGACAAUGCACCAGUGAAAACCACAGCUCAUCUUUUUCAAUUUAGCCUCGGCUAGAAAAUGUAUUGGAAGCAGAAGCCACCAAACUCAUUUACUAGCUAAUGAAGAACCUUUAAAGAAUGGAAGGAGAUUGAUCCAACAACACAUUAAGAAAAUUAUUCACCAUGACCAAGUAGGAUUUAUCCCCCAGACACAAGGCUGGUUCAACACUCGUAAAACAAUCAAUGUGAUUCAUCAUAUCAGCAAGAGAAAAACU